GGGUUGAUUCGAAUGGGUUGACACCUGCUGGCUUAGGCAGGCAUCCCUUUCCUCCCUCACUGCUCCAUGUGGAUCUCUCCUGAAGCUGUGUGCUGGGUGGAAGAGGAGGAUCUUCUCUGAUAGAGGACAACGGUUCUGUGGUCAAGUGUAUACCACUC
rfam:Gorilla gorilla gorilla genomic chromosome, chr1, whole genome shotgun sequence